rfam:Medicago truncatula strain A17 unplaced genomic scaffold scaffold0136, whole genome shotgun sequence.
AUAUAAGCAAAAUUGACUUUGUAGGUUCAUUCACUUAAUGAUGUAUGUGGUUCAUAUUAUUAACCAUAUACAUCAUUAAAUGAAUGAACCUAAAAAGUCAAUUUUGCUUAUAU